GAGAAGUCUAAAAUUGGGCAGAAAAUCUCACUCCCAGUCAUGAGAUUCACAUGGUCAGUUAUGGAAUUGAAGAAACAAGCAUGGCCUCCCGUGGGAUGAUUGUAGGGCGCUUGGUUAACCAUGAGAAUGUUUCUUACACCCAAGGCUGGCCAUGAGAAGGGAGGAGACAUUUUUGGACUCUCCCAAAUACUAAAAAAACUCACAAUUUGUGCUGGAGCAAGGAUCUUGAAUGAGAGAUUUUGGAUGCUUGAAGGAGGAAGACAUCAAUC
rnacentral:misc_RNA from 1 species